rnacentral:rRNA from 1 species
ACAGCAGUAGCCACGGUAAUACGGAGGAUCCAAGCGUUAUCCGGAAUCAUUGGGUUUAAAGGGUCCGUAGGCGGUCUUGUAAGUCAGUGGUGAAAGCCCAUCGCUCAACGGUGGAACGGCCAUUGAUACUGCAGGACUUGAAUUAUUGGGAAGUAACUAGAAUAUGUAGUGUAGCGGUGAAAUGCUUAGAGAUUACAUGGAAUACCAAUUGCGAAGGCAGGUUACUACCAAUUGAUUGACGCUGAUGGACGAAAGCGUGGGUAGCGAACAGGAUUAGAUACCCCGGUAGUCCCUGUCUCUUAUAC